rnacentral:rRNA from 1 species
CUUGGUCAUUUAGAGGAAGUAAAAGUCGUAACAAGGUUUCCGUAGGUGAACCUGCGGAAGGAUCAUUAAUGAAAUGCAAGGACGCUCUUUUUAGAGGUCCGACCAACUCAUUUUCCUUCACCCUGUGCACAAACUGUUUUUACACAUUUUACACACAAAAGUCUAAGAAUGACAUCGUCUCUUAAUUGAGCAUAAACAAACAAAACUUUCGGCAACGGAUCUCUUGGCUCCCGCAUCGAUGAAGAACGCAGCGAAAUGCGAUACGUAAUGUGAAUUGCAGAAUUCAGUGAAUCAUCGAAUCUUUGAACGCACCUUGCACUCUUUGGUAUUCCGAAGAGUAUGUCUGUUUGAGUGUCGUGAAACUCUCAACCCCCCCCUUUUUGUAACGAGAUGGGCGUGGGAUUGGAUUAUGGCUGUCUGUCGGUUCUAAUCGAAUCGGCUCGGCUGAAAUACAUGAGCGACCACACUGAAUACAGUGACGGCUUGACUCGGCGUAAUAAUCUUUUCGCUGAGGACGUCCAUUUUUUCAGAUAGGCGCUUCUAAUGCUAUAAAUCUUUUUAAGCUUUAGACCUCAAAUCAGUCAGGACUACCCGCUGAACUUAAGCAUAUCAAUAAGCGGAGGAAAAGAAACUAACAAGGAUUCCCCUAGUAACGGCGAGUGAAGUGGGAAAAGCUCAACUUUGAAAUCUGGCAGCUUCGCUGUCCGAGUUGUAGUCUCGAGAAGCGUUUUCCGUGUCAAUGCAUGCAUGAGUCUGUUGGGAUACAGCGUCAUAGAGGGUGAGAACCCCGUUCGUGGCAUGCCUUUUGAUACUCUGUGAUACGUUUUCGAUGAGUCGAGUUGUUUGGGAAUGCAGCUCAAAGCGGGUGGUAAAUUCCAUCUAAAGCUAAAUAUUGGCGGGAGACCGAUAGCAAACAAGUACCGUGAGGGAAAGAUGAAAAGCACUUUGGAAAGAGAGUUAAAAGUACGCGAAAUUGUCGAAAGGGAAACGCUUGAAGUCGGACGUGCAGGGCAACUUGCAGGCCAACAUCGGUUUUGACAGCUGGAUAAAGGCGGAAGAAGGUAGCAGCUCCGGCUGUGUUAUAGCUUCCAGCUGAAUACAGAUGACGAGACCGAGGACCGCAGCGCAAGCUUAGGAUGUUGGUGGAACGGCUUUAAACGACCCGUCUUGAAACACGGACC